UAGGAAAUCAGACUAUCGAUCUCACGCUCGAAGAGGAAAGAAAGAGACAUGAGAGGCAAUGAAUACAAAUUGUACCUUCAGGACAUACAAACAAGCUCACCCCACUGAAUCAAGGAUUUUCAACCGGAUUAUUCCUGCCACUAUCAACAUCCAGCCUUUUUUGCUUAAUUGGUGCACAAAUGCAGGUGUAUGAUUCUGACAGCAGAAUGAGUCAGGCAGCCUUGAGUGUGGUCAGUAUGUUUCAUGUUGGGACCACGGGUAUAAGACUUUAAGUCACUCUUAGAGGGAAAUAUACAGGGGGGUGCACGCAAUUGGACAUGUCCUCCAAAGA